rnacentral:rRNA from 1 species
UACGUAGGUGGCAAGCGUUGUCCGGAAUUAUUGGGCGUAAAGCGCGCGCAGGCGGUCCUUUAAGUCUGAUGUGAAAGCCCACGGCUCAACCGUGGAGGGUCAUUGGAAACUGGGGGACUUGAGUGCAGAAGAGGAAAGCGGAAUUCCACGUGUAGCGGUGAAAUGCGUAGAGAUGUGGAGGAACACCAGUGGCGAAGGCGGCUUUCUGGUCUGUAAACUGACGCUGAGGCGCGAAAGCGUGGGGAGCAAACAGG